GAUGAACGCUAGCUACAGGCUUAACACAUGCAAGUCGAGGGGCAGCAUGAACUUAGCUUGCUAAGUUUGAUGGCGACCGGCGCACGGGUGAGUAACACGUAUCCAACCUUCCGUUUACUCAGGGAUAGCCUUUCGAAAGAAAGAUUAAUACCUGAUAGUAUGGUGAGAUUGCAUGAUAACACCAUUAAAGAUUUAUUGGUAAACGAUGGGGAUGCGUUCCAUUAGGUAGUAGGCGGGGUAACGGCCCACCUAGCCUGCGAUGGAUAGGGGUUCUGAGAGGAAGGUCCCCCACAUUGGAACUGAGACACGGUCCAAACUCCUACGGGAGCAGCAGUGAGGAAUAUUGGUCAAUGGGGCAGAGCCUGAACCAGCCAAGUAGCGUGAAGGAUGAAGGUCCUACGGAUUGUAAACUUCUUUAUACGGGAAUAAAGUUCCUACGUGAGACUUUUUGCAUGUACCUUAUGAAUAAGGACCGGCUAAUUCCGUGCCAGCAGCCGC
rnacentral:rRNA from 1 species